AACCUGUCUUGUGCUUGUCUCCGCCCCCCACCAGGUGUCUCACCCUGAUCUGUUUAACCUGUCUUGUGCUUGUCUCCGCCCCCCACCAGGUGUCUCACCCUGAUCUGUUUCACCUGUCUUGUGCUUGUCUCCGCCCCCCACCAGGUGUCUCACCCUGAUCUGUUUCACCUGUCUUGUGCUUGACUCCGCCCCCCACCAGGUGUCUCCUAUUCUUCCCCAUUUUCCCCUGUGUAUUUAUUUUCUGUUUGUCAGAGCUUGAACCCAGGUGACCUGAAUGGACGACUGGGGUUUUGGGAGCAGGGCUGGGUUCAAAUAGUAUUUGUUUUCUUCCACAGCAUUUUAAUUGAGCCUACCUGGAGUGCCAGAUGGGCAGGGUUUGCACCUUUGGGAGUCUUCCACUGGUUUCAUUGCGCCAGGCAAGCUCAAUCAAGUGCAGAAAGAACAAAUGCUAUAAACCCAGGUAUGCUAAUUUUUAACUCCUGUUUACCAUUGGUUCUUCUAUUAGAGUGAGUUCAACCUCCUGUUUCAUAAACACUGUACAUGGUACCAUCUCUGUUAUACAAUACUGAGAACCUGGUUCACCACGCCAUAUCAGGUAAAUAUGGACACACAUUUAGCCUGUGUAUAAAACAUGCUCUGGGACAAAA
ensembl:lncRNA